rnacentral:tRNA from 1 species
GGACAGGUGGCAGAGCCCGGUUUAAUGCACCGCACUCGAAAUGCGGCAUGGGAGCAAUCUCAUCGGGGGUUCAAAUCCCUCCCUGUCCGCCA